UGGGGUGAAUGGAUGGGUGACUGUGCAGUGGGUGCAUUGCAGCAUAUCUCUGUUAACGGGCUUUUCUUUGGAUAGAGUAACGGAGGUGAAAACUUCGCAGCUCCAUAUUGAGUGCCUGCCAGAUCCCUCUUUAGCUAUAAAUGCCCAGAGUAGGUGGGGCAGAUGGCUAUGGAGACACAGGCUUGAAGUCACAUGAUAAAUCAAUCAAGGGCCCAGAGAACAAAGUCCACUUUUCCUGAUCCCAGAGGCACUGUGUUAGGUCAGGUGCAUGGUGCUGCUUUCCAGAUGACUGCACAGUCCGUGUGGGCCCCUCCGUGAGCAUGUCCCUCUCCUGGAUGGUGAACGAGACAGGAGCGAUGACCCACAACCAACAGAUGGAGUGUUUGGGGAGCACGUCCAGUAGGAGCAGCUCUCUUGGCUCCCAGCUUGGGACUUCAGGUCACAGUGACAACUGCGUGUGGAGGAAACGGCGACCACACCCUGCUCUCCCAUCCCUCGGACAAAAUUCCAGCUCGCGUUGCUCACCUCCCGGAUGAUCUGUCAACGGCCUUUCGGGAACCUGAAUGACCAUAGCGUCAGACAGAAGAGCUUCGUGUUGGGACUGGAGGCGCAUCAGAGAGUCUGGGACCCCUGUGCCACUUAUGCCGGAGAGGAUGCGAUUAGUGCCACAAGAAAAUGCCUCAGAUCCAACGAUGUUGACAAACUAAUUCCUUAAAAAAUAGAUGGUGUCUUCUUUGGGACAUAAGACAUCUUAGAUGCGGUGUCGAGUAGUAUUUUGGAUCUUUAUUUUUGUUUGUAAACUCUUCUUCCACAUGUGGUUUUCGGUCUACUUACAAAGAUCUUACGAUGCAGAAGAAAAAGCAGUUGUGAGCGUUAGAGGGGACAUAAAACAAAGGGUCAAAUCAGCGAUGCAGAAACCAGGAGAGGGCCAAUGCCUGCCUACUUACCGACGGACGAACACAGAGCAGCAGCCAUCAGUGGGCACGUGACUCCCAAGGCAGAGGUCUCCUCGGCUCUGUUGGUGAGCUUGUUGGACACCCGCCUACAUUUGCCUACGGAUUUUUUUCAGAAAGGACAGAAAUACUCCUACCUGUACCCUCACUGCUGUGCGUAUAUCCUUAGGGGCACACCCUACCAUUUUAGUGCGAAUUUUCAGGAAUCUUGUCGGGGAGAGCUGGUGCUUGAGGGAAGAAAGAAACGUGCUGGAAGAAGACAGAAGGAGGACAGAGACUACACCUGUUGUUCUGGACUGCAGCUGGAGUUGGAAAGGAAAUUUAUUUCCACGAAUGGAGAAGUGUCAGAGUGA
rnacentral:lncRNA from 1 species